rnacentral:rRNA from 1 species
GACAUAGGUGGCAAACGUUAUCCGGAAUUAUUGGGCGUAAAGGGCGCGUAGGCGGCUACGCACGUCCGUUGUGAAAUCGCUCGGCUCAACUGGGCGGGGUCAGCGGAUACGGCGUAGCUGGAGCAAGCUAGGGGGCAAUGGAAUUCCCGGUGUAGUGGUGGAAUGCGUAGAUAUCGGGAGGAACACCAGUGGCGAAGGCGGUUGCCUGGAGCUUUGCUGACGCUGAUGCGCGAAAGCGUGGGGAGCGAUCCGG